CCUACGGGAGGCAGCAGUAAGGGAUAUUGGACAAUGGGCGAAAGCCUGAUCCAGCAACGCCGCGUGGAGGACGAAGGAUUUCGGUCUGUAAACUCCUUUUAGCAGGGACGAGAGAGGACGGUACCUGCUGAAUCAGUCACGGCUAACUACGUGCCAGCAGCCGCGGUAAAACGUAGGUGGCAAGCGUUAUCCGGAUUUACUGGGCGUAAAGCGUGUGCAGACGGGUCAACAAGUAGUGUAUGAAAACUUCGGGCUUAACCCGGAGACUGUAUGCUAGACUGUUGGUCUAGGGUGUGAGAGAGGGAGAUGGAAUUCCGGGUGUAGUGGUGAAAUGCGUAGAGAUCCGGAGGAACCCCAGAGGCGAAGGCGGUCUCCUAGCUCACAACCGACGUUCAGACACGACAGCAUGGGAGCAAACGGGAUUAGAAACCCCGGUAGUCCGAUGCCGUAAACGAUGCGGACUAGGUGCUGGAGGCGUAAGAACCUUCGGUGCCGGCAGACUACGACGCGUACGUCCGCCGCCGUCGGACGUACGACCGCGAACGUAAACGUACAAGAAGUAGACGCGUGAGACGNGCCGACGACGACGACGAGGGAGAG
rnacentral:rRNA from 1 species